rnacentral:rRNA from 1 species
UGACGGUACCAGUAGAAGAAGCCCCGGCUAACUACGUGCCAGCAGCCGCGGUAAGACGUAGGGGGCCAGCGUUGUUCGGAAUUACUGGGUGUAAAGGGUUCGUAGGCGGUGUGGCAAGUCGGGAGUGAAAUCUAUGGGCUUAACUCAUAGACUGCUUCCGAAACUGCUGUGCUCGAGUGUGGGAGAGGCGCGUGGAAUUGCAGGUGUAGCGGUGAAAUGCGUAGAUAUCUGCAGGAACACCCGUGGCGAAAGCGGCGCGCUGGACCACUACUGACGCUGAGGAACGAAAGCUAGGGGAGCAAACAGGAUUAGAUACCCUGGUAGUCCUAGCCCUAAACGAUCAGGACUUGGGGUGCCGCACGUUCGUGCGUCGUCCCGGAGCUAACGCGUUAAGUCCUGCACCUGGGGAGUACGGUCGCAAGACUGAAACUCAAAGGAAUUGACGGGGGCCCGCACAAGCGGUGGAACAUGUGGUUCAAUUCGACGCUACGCGAGGAACCUUACCUGGGCUCGAAGCGCACCUGACCAGCUGUAGAAAUACGGCCUUCCCG